rnacentral:tRNA from 1 species
GUUAAAUAAAUUAACAUAAGAAUGUCAAUCUUAAAUUACUAAAAUAAGUAUUUUUUA